rnacentral:rRNA from 1 species
CGCUGGCGGCGUGCCUAAUACAUGCAAGUCGAACGAACGGAGGAAGAGCUUGCUCUUCCAAAGUUAGUGGCGGACGGGUGAGUAACACGUGGGCAACCUGCCUGUAAGUUGGGGAUAACUCCGGGAAACCGGGGCUAAUACCGAAUGAUAAAGUGUGGCGCAUGCCACGCUUUUGAAAGAUGGUUUCGGCUAUCGCUUACAGAUGGGCCCGCGGUGCAUUAGCUAGUUGGUAGGGUAAUGGCCUACCAAGGCAACGAUGCAUAGCCGACCUGAGAGGGUGAUCGGCCACACUGGGACUGAGACACGGCCCAGACUCCUACGGGAGGCAGCAGUAGGGAAUCUUCCGCAAUGGACGAAAGUCUGACGGAGCAACGCCGCGUGUAUGAAGAAGGUUUUCGGAUCGUAAAGUACUGUUGUUAGAGAAGAACAAGGAUAAGAGUAACUGCUUGUCCCUUGACGGUAUCUAACCAGAAAGCC